AGUGGCGGGCAUGUGUCUGCAAUGCCAGUCAGAAGCCAAAGAAGAGACAACUGGCUCUACAUGCUACGGCUGUUUUUAGAAUUUGUAUUAUUCAGCACUUCCUGGGGCAGCAGGAAGCACUAAUUUGGCAGCAGCUGACAGAACUCAACUCUCAGCUUAUGUCUUCCAAAAUCUUUCUUUUCCUUUACCAUCUUUAGUUACAUGCAUAACUUUGGACACACUCACUCCUCUGUCCUCACGCUAGUAACAGCCCUGAUGUCCCUGCCCCUCCCUGCCAUGCUGGAGGUCUGCUUAGCUGUUCCAUUGACCCCUUGGCACAACCUUGGGAAGACUUCUCUGCCACCAGCCUGCAGCACGCCAGAGGAAACUCAUUUGCCCAUUCUCCCACUUAUGGACCAGCAGGAAAACAGAAAGGGGUUAGCAACCCAUGGCGUGGACCUGUGACCUGUGAGAGAAACCCCUUGACAGGUGUUCGCGACCCCAGGGCUGUGAAGCUUC